AACGCAACUUGCGCCAUGUAUAUGGCAUGUCUGUUUGAGUGCCGCAAAGGACUUGUGUAUUGCGUAUUGGCGGUUGUCUGUGCAUCUGUGCGGACUCUGUCUAAAUGCAGCCAGCAAUGGUCGUGGACUGUGACGGUCCGAGUGCUAAGCAUUCUUGGUCUGAUCACAACUGCGGCCGAGGGUGGGCUAGUGGUGGAUGAUUGUGUGCAAACCGUGUCAUCACGCCAUCACGCCAUCACGCCCUACCACCCCUCCCCUACCUACUAUUGGCCUCAAAUCAGGCAGGAUCACCCGCUGAACUUAA
rnacentral:misc_RNA from 1 species